UCGGGUAUGGUGUAAAGGCCAACAUUGCCGCCUCUCAUCAUCCAGUGUCUUGAUUCGUACGCGGCAGCUCGGGGUUCGAUUCCCCGUACCCGAG